GGGGGUUAUAAUGCGGUCACUGCUAAUGAAUAUGCUGGAACAAUGAAAGGUUCGACCCUCU
rnacentral:tRNA from 1 species